GUAAACACUUUCAGGCACCAGCUGACUUAAUACAGUUUAUAAAUAACUCUUUAAGUUUGCACUUUGUCUAGUGUCAACUAUCAACUCUUUAGAGUUUCUUUGUAUAGACUGGUCUUGGUUAAGAGACGACACCGUUAACUGAAGUCAAAUCAACUGAUGUAAAAGAUGUGAUUAUAUAGGAUUAAGUAAUUAUUUAGAAAAGACUGAAUCUUGGUUUUACAUUAGUGAAAUGUGGUUAUCUGGCAGUGGUAGUAUAAGCCUAGCACACAGCCUUUCCUGUUACAUCAAGCCCUAAAAGGAAUUAACUACAACUUAAUUUUUUUUUUUUUCUUUUUGGUGGGGGGCAGCCAAUAGAAAUAGAUAUGAUUGUAGGAAAAGACCGGGAAGGUUUCUUUACCAACGGUUUGACUCUUGGCGCGAAGAAAUGCUCAGUGAUCAGAGAUAGUCUAUACGUCGAUGGUGACUGCACAAUGGACAUCCGGACAAAGAGUCAAGGUGGGGAGCCAACAUACAAUGUGGCUGUCGGCAGAGCUGGUAGAGGUAACAUUGGUUAUAGUCAUGGGAAAGGAAGGUGUCCACGGAGGCACACUUAACAAGAAAGCAUAUGAACUCGCUUUAUACCUGAGGAGGUCUGAUGUGUAAGCAGCCUCUCCCCAUCUACCUAGCAACUGUCUUCAUCAACAACCCUAAUUAUGGUCACAAUGCUACCAAACUAUAGAUGGUAGCUAAUUUUUCUUCACCUAUUUUCUAAUGUCA
rnacentral:sRNA from 1 species